rnacentral:rRNA from 1 species
UUGGGGUGGGGUGACUGCGUACCUUUUGUAUAAUGGGUCAGCGACUUAUAUUCUGUAGCAAGGUUAACCGUAUAGGGGAGCCGAAGGGAAACCGAGUCUUAACCGGGCGUUAAGUUGCAGGGUAUAGACCCGAAACCCGGUGAUCUAGCCAUGGGCAGGUUGAAGGUUGGGUAACACUAACUGGAGGACCGAACCGACUAAUGUUGAAAAAUUAGCGGAUGACUUGUGGCUGGGGGUGAAAGGCCAAUCAAACCGGGAGAUAGCUGGUUCUCCCCGAAAGCUAUUUAGGUAGCGCCUCGUGAACUCAUCUUCGGGGGUAGAGCACUGUUUCGGCUAGGGGGUCAUCCCGACUUACCAACCCGAUGCAAACUGCGAAUACCGAAGAAUGUUAUCACGGGAGACACACGGCGGGUGCUAACGUCCGUCGUGAAGAGGGAAACAACCCAGACCGCCAGCUAAGGUCCCAAAGUCACAGUUAAGUGGGAAACGAUGUGGGAAGGCUCAGACAGCCAGGAUGUUGGCUUAGAAGCAGCCAUCAUUUAAAGAAAGCGUAAUAGCUCACUGGUCGAGUCGGCCUGCGCGGAAGAUGUAACGGGGCUAAACUGUGCACCGAAGCUGCGGCAGCGACGCUUAUGCGUUGUUGGGUAGGGGAGCGUUCUGUAAGCCUGCGAAGGUGUCCUGUGAGGGAUGCUGGAGGUAUCAGAAGUGCGAAUGCUGACAUAAGUAACGAUAA